rnacentral:rRNA from 1 species
UACGGAGGGUGCGAGCGUUGUCCGGAAUUAUUGGGCGUAAAGGGCUCGUAGGCGGUUUGUCGCGUCGGGAGUGAAAACACCGGGCUUAACUCGGUGCUUGCUUUCGAUACGGGCAGACUAGAGGCAUGCAGGGGAGAACGGAAUUCCUGGUGUAGCGGUGAAAUGCGCAGAUAUCAGGAGGAACACCGGUGGCGAAGGCGGUUCUCUGGGCAUGUCCUGACGCUGAGGAGCGAAAGUGUGGGGAGCGAACAGG